rnacentral:rRNA from 1 species
UACGAAGGGGGCUAGCGUUGUUCGGAAUCACUGGGCGUAAAGCGCACGUAGGCGGAUCUUUAAGUCAGGGGUGAAAUCCCGAGGCUCAACCUCGGAACUGCCUUUGAUACUGGGGAUCUCGAGUCCGGGAGAGGUGAGUGGAACUGCGAGUGUAGAGGUGAAAUUCGUAGAUAUUCGCAAGAACACCAGUGGCGAAGGCGCUCACUGGCCCGGAACUGACGC